rnacentral:rRNA from 1 species
GACGAACGCUGGCGGCAUGCCUAAUACAUGCAAGUCGAGCGGACUUGAAGAGAAGCUUGCUUCUCUGAUGGUUAGCGGCGGACGGGUGAGUAACACGUAGGCAACCUGCCCUCAAGCUUGGGACAACUACCGGAAACGGUAGCUAAUACCGAAUACUUGUUUUCUUCGCCUGAAGGAAACUGGAAAGACGGAGCAAUCUGUCACUUGGGGAUGGGCCUGCGGCGCAUUAGCUAGUUGGCGAGGUAACGGCUCACCAAGGCGACGAUGCGUAGCCGACCUGAGAGGGUGAUCGGCCACACUGGGACUGAGACACGGCCCAGACUCCUACGGGAGGCAGCAGUAGGGAAUCUUCCGCAAUGGGCGAAAGCCUGACGGAGCAAUGCCGCGUGAGUGAUGAAGGUUUUCGGAUCGUAAAGCUCUGUUGCCAGGGAAGAACGCUUGGGAGAGUAACUGCUCCCAAGGUGACGGUACCUGAGAAGAAAGCCCCGGCUAACUACGUGCCAGCAGCCGCAGUAA